CUGUGCUCUCUCCUUAAUCCCUAUGUAUCUUUAAACAAAUGGAGGUCAUUUAGGUACUCCAAAGGCCACUGGAGGCCAUGACCUCCAUUUGUUUAAAUAUACAUGGGGAUUAAGGAGAGAGCACAGGU